GCGGACGUGGUGCAUGGUACACAGCUGCCUUCCGUAAAAAAGGUACGAACGAUUGAAGCAGUGAGCCGGGGUUCGAUUCCCCGCGUCCGCA